ACACAAACCUGGACUGCAUUACGAAUCAGGCCAGGACUUAGAAGUGUACGUCUUUUCACAGCAGGUAGCUGUGACCAGGGAAUCCCCAUGGCGAUGGAGAGAGUUGAGCACACCGGCAGAAAACAAGAGGACACACACACACUGGAUAGGAAGGAAACGGAGCAUGAGAUCCACCCCAUCCCCAUCUCGUCUGUUCCUGCUACGUGCCCCUAUGGGACAAUCGUCCAUCUUAAUACAAUCCACAAGUUAGCAAGAGAGCUGGUGCCAAUUUCGGGAGAAAAAAUGCCUGUGGAUGGCUGAAGUAUCGUUUUGGGGGAACUAAUGCAGUGGUUUUGCACACAUUUCUCUGAUGAACAGCAUUCCCAGGUGACAGCAAGCAGCCAUCUGUGAGCAAAGGCAUGGUCAUGAGAGAGCAUGUGCGAGUGUGUGUGUGUGCGCUUAUGCUGCUUUUUUAUUGGGGGUGCUUGGGGAGUCUCUGGGGAGGAGGCAAUGGUUUUUUUAGUGUUUAUUUUAUUAUCAACAGUUUGUAUUAUUUCCAUCAUUGGUUGGUAUGUUGAGAGGUAUUCCCUUUGUGAUAAGUUUGAAAUAUUGUUCAUGAACUCUGUGAAAGCUGCAUUGUGAUAAUAUGGCCAUAACAUCUACCUGUUCUUGGUUCUGUUCAGGGAGGGCCAGGGUUAUAAAAAGGAAUCCACUGUAGUUUAGGGGGAGGUUGUUAGUCUGCUUGGGCAGUAUUACUGCAGGGUUUUUUCCCCUUGUUGAUUACCGUUUUCCCCCUUGUUGAUUACUAUUUGUUUAAAAAAAGUCAUUUGAUUUAAAUUAUUUAUUUUAAUUUAGACUCUUGAUGUCAAAAGUGUUAAAUGAUGUGAUUCAAUUAAGGUCCUGGAUAAAGUUUGUGUAU